rnacentral:rRNA from 1 species
UACGUAGGCAGCAAGCGUUGUUCGGAAUUACUGGGCGUAAAGAGUGUGUAGGCGGUGCUCUAAGUUCGGUGUGAAAUCUCCCGGCUCAACUAGGAGGGUGCGCCGGAAACUGGGGUGCUGGAGCGCGGGAGAGGAAAGCGGAAUUCCUGGUGUAGCGGUGAAAUGCGUAGAUAUCAGGAGGAACACCGGCGGUGUAGACGGCUUUCUGGACCGUAGCUGACGCUGAGACACGAAAGCGUGGGUAGCAAACAGG